AUACGGAGGGGGCUAGCGUUGUUCGGAAUUACUGGGCGUAAAGCGCGCGUAGGCGGCCUGUCAAGUUGGGUGUGAAAUCCCUUGGCUUACCCAAGGAACUGCUUCUGAUACUGCAUGACUUGAGUCCGGGAGAGGAGAGCGGAAUUCCCAGUGUAGCGGUGGAAUGCGUAGAUAUUGGGAGGAACACCAGUGGCGAAGGCGGCUCUCUGGACCGGUACUGACGCUGAGGUGCGAAAGCUAGGGUAGCAAACAGGAUUAGAAACCCCGGUAGUCC
rnacentral:rRNA from 1 species